UACGUAGGCAGCAAGCGUUGUUCGGAGUUACUGGGCGUAAAGGGCGCGUAGGCGGCCUUUUAAGUUUGGUGUGAAAUCUCCCGGCUCAACUGGGAGGGUGCGCCGGAUACUGAGAGGCUAGAGUGUGGGAGAGGAAAGUGGAAUUCCUGGUGUAGCGGUGAAAUGCGUAGAUAUCAGGAGGAACACCAGUGGUGUAAGCAGCUUUCUGGGCCAGAACUGACGCUGAGGCACGAAAGCGUGGGUAGCAAACAGG
rnacentral:rRNA from 1 species